AAAAGAAAAAAAAAAACCAUGGAAAUUGGCCAGUCUGAAAAAAGGAAGAAAAUAUUAUCAAUAGAUUUGGUGCUUGAACUAGGAUUUUUCUUGUUCAUAAGGUUCAAUUUUCCCUUUGGUUUCUAUCGUCUUUCAGCACAUGAUGGAUUCUUGUUAAAAUUUGUAAUUUUCUCUUCCCUUAGUUAACUAGUUUAUAAUUUGCAAUUACCCUUAGUCAUUAUUGUUUUCUAAAACAAAUCUUACUUCAGUUUUUUU
rnacentral:misc_RNA from 1 species